rnacentral:rRNA from 1 species
UGGGGAAUUUUGGACAAUGGGCGAAAGCCUGAUCCAGCAAUGCCGCGUGUGUGAAGAAGGCCUUCGGGUUGUAAAGCACUUUUGUCCGGAAAGAAAUCCUUGGCUCUAAUACAGUCGGGGGAUGACGGUACCGGAAGAAUAAGCACCGGCUAACUACGUGCCAGCAGCCGCGGUAAUACGUAGGGUGCAAGCGUUAAUCGGAAUUACUGGGCGUAAAGCGUGCGCAGGCGGUUUGCUAAGACCGAUGUGAAAUCCCCGGGUCUCAACCUGGGAACUGCAUUGGUGACUGGCAGGCUAGAGUAUGGCAGAGGGGGGUAGAAUUCCACGUGUAGCAGUGAAAUGCGUAGAGAUGUGGAGGAAUACCGAUGGCGAAGGCAGCCCCCUGGGCCAAUACUGACGCUCAUGCACGAAAGGCGUGGGGAGCAAACAGGAUUAGAUACCCUGGUAGUCCACGCCCUAAACGAUGUCAACUAGUUGUUGGGGAUUCAUUUCCUUAGUAACGUAGCUAACGCGUGAAGUUGACCGCCUGGGGAGUACGGUCGCAAGAUU